rnacentral:rRNA from 1 species
GCUCAGAUUGAACGCUGGCGGCAGGCCUAACACAUGCAAGUCGAGCGGUAGCACAGAGAGCUUGCUCUCGGGUGACGAGCGGCGGACGGGUGAGUAAUGUCUGGGAAACUGCCUGAUGGAGGGGGAUAACUACUGGAAACGGUAGCUAAUACCGCAUAAYGUCGCAAGACCAAAGUGGGGGACCUUCGGGCCUCAUGCCAUAAGAUGUGCCCAGAUGGGAUUAGCUAGUAGGUGGGGUAACGGCUCACCUAGGCGACGAUCCCUAGCUGGUCUGAGAGGAUGACCAGCCACACUGGAACUGAGACACGGUCCAGACUCCUACGGGAGGCAGCAGUGGGGAAUAUUGCACAAUGGGCGCAAGCCUGAUGCAGCCAUGCCGCGUGUGUGAAGAAGGCCUUCGGGUUGUAAAGCACUUUCAGCGGGGAGGAAGGCGGUGAGGUUAAUAACCUCAUCGAUUGACGUUACCCGCAGAAGAAGCACCGGCUAACUCCGU